rnacentral:rRNA from 1 species
UACGUAGGUGGCUAGCGUUAUCCGGAUUUACUGGGCGUAAAGCGCGUGCAGGCGGUUUCGUAAGUCGGACGUGAAAGCUCCUGGCUUAACUGGGAGAGGUCGUUCGAUACUGCGAGACUUGAGGUCGGGAGAGGGACGUGGAAUUCCCGGUGUAGUGGUGGAAUGCGUAGAUAUCGGGAGGAACACCAGUGGCGAAGGCGGCGUCCUGGCCCGCACCUGACGCUAAGACGCGAAAGCGUGGGGAG